rnacentral:misc_RNA from 1 species
UGUAAUUUUCUGUCAUAUUCAACUAUAAAUACAAAAUCACAAUGUCCCUACAGGUUCAAACAUUUUCAGUCUUACUUAUUGUAAGAAAAUGAAUAUUUUCAGACAUACCCCAUAGGUCAUAAAAUAAUUUCUGAAAUUCAAUUGCAACCAAACAGCAAAGACAUUAUUUUCUCAAAACAUGUUAGUCUCCACAAAAAAUUGGAGCCUAAAUGCCAUGUCUCACUUCUUACUCAGAAAGAAACAACAGGGGGUUGACAGUCCAAUAAAAUCUUCUGGAAAUACAUGGGAUAAGAAAGUAACUUUUCCUAUAACAUCAGUUUUAUAAAAUAAAAAAAUAUGGAGGAAUCAAAUACUAACAAAGAAAAUCUGCUCAUAUUAAAAAUCUGCAUGUUUGAAAGGAACAUUAUGCAUAAGAAAAUGCGAAUAUGAAGUAGAAACCCAAAGCAAUCAGGUGUAAAAGAAAUAUAACAGACCAGCAAGUAUUAAAAAAGAAGAAAUUUCAAUGAAGGAAAUUUCAAUGAACAUGACCAACUGAUUACCACAAAUAAGACGGCUGAUCCAUGCUAGGAAUUUAUCAUAGAUUCUUAGCCAAUAUUAGAACAAAGAAAUAAGAAAUUACAUCAUCCCAGAGAAGAAAACCCUCCAAAGAGGACAAGGAUACUGGUGACAAACAUUCGUGUCUCA